rnacentral:rRNA from 1 species
UACGUAGGGGGGCAAGCGUUGUCCGGAAUUAUUGGGCGUAAAGGGUAGGUAGGUGGUCUCAUUUGUCAGGGGUGAAAGCCUUGGGCUUAACCCAAGAAGUGCCCUUGAAACGGUGAGACUGGAGUCUUGGAGAGGGUCGUGGAAUUCCCGGUGUAGCGGUGAAAUGCGUAGAGAUCGGGAGGAACACCAGAGGCGAAGGCGGCGACCUGGACAAGUACUGACACUCAACUACGAAAGCGUGGGUAGCAAACAGG